CAGGUACCCAAUCCUGUCGUGCCGAAGCUAACGCGAUAAGCAAUCCGCCUGGGGAGUACGGUCGCAAGGCUGAAACUCAAAGGAAU
rnacentral:rRNA from 1 species